rnacentral:lncRNA from 1 species
AAGGAAUAGCCAGUCAAUUUGGUAGAAAGUCAAAAAUCUCUCCUUUCUCAACUCAGUGCAAACAAUGAAACAACGUUUCAGUGCUCCUCAGUGCUUGGCAACUCAGCAAGUCUCAGUUCAGACAGAGGGCCCCAGAGAUUCCUAUUUGGACCACAGCCUCCAAGACUGCCCAGAGCUAAGGAAUCCCUGGCUGGUGAGCACAAUCCUUCUGGGAUCCCCCUCCCUCUGCCUGGUCAGCACAAGGCAUCUCUGGGCAUUUGCAUGAAGAUGGGAGGUUGGAGGGACAAGAUGGUCUGUAACCUGUUGCCAGCUCUGUAAUGCUGGCUCAUCCUGGACCCUGCAACGAAGCCACAGAUCCCAGUUUCUCCUGAAUGGAGGAAGAGGUGACCUCAUCAAAGGAUUAUUUGACCCCACCCCCCACCCCAAGAGGUCAC